rnacentral:tRNA from 1 species
AUUAGCAUGGCAGAACUAAUGCAACUGUCUUAAGAUCAGUUCAAAACCRCCAGGUUUGCUAACA